CAACUCAUGUUUUAUUGCUCGUAAUAUCCUAAUGCUAGUUAUUUUACUUGGGUUGCAGGAUAAAACAUUUCAACAUCCUUAUUUAUCGGCCCUGGGUUCGCAUACAAAUUAUUGGAGGGAUCACGACACUGCCCUAUUUAUAUUGAAACACUUGUAUCGAGAAAUACCCGAGGAACGAUAUUUCUCUCGAGACCCUGAAGCAUCUGG